rnacentral:lncRNA from 12 species
CCUAAAUGCCUUUGGAGAUCUGGCCCACCACUUUCUCAUUAUAAAAUGCAAGAGAUAAGCUCGCCUGUGCUGUCCACAUGCCAGAUGUGCUGGGAUGGAUUCUCUCUGUCCUGUGUAUCUGUGCACUGGAAUUCCUCUUGGGUCUAAUUCUCAUCCCCACAGUGUGCUGCUCUGCUCUGGGGAUGUUUGAGAUAGUUUGUGGUUUAGUGCUGCUACCAGGAGCUGCUCAGAAAGUGUCUCAGGACUGCUGUGCUGCCCAGGCUGCUGUGCCCCAGGAUCAGGCUAAGUGUAUGGAAACCCCUGAGAGGGAGAACGAGUCAGAUACCAGCUGCUUGCCAAAAGGACGAGGGGCAGGAUUUAAAUGGGAAUGCAGGAAAGGUGACAGCUGUUCUAGAAACGUGUUUGCAAAGCUGCUUUGUGAGGUUGAGGUGGGAAACCACAGGCGCAGGAUCACAGAGGGCUAAACCCCUUCCCCUGCACGGCUCUCCUUCCAAAUAAACACUCAGGGUUAAUUAGUGGUGCUAUCUCCACAGAUUUGCUAGGUAUGCUCUGCUCUGCUCCCUCCUCUGUGGCCUCCAAGCCCCAGCAGCCCAACAAACGAAGCAGCACAACUCCUGCAGAGCUCGUCCAGUGGUAGGUGAUGGACACCCCAGACACUGCUGAUCUGCACAGCCCCAUCCAUCUUAGUCAGGACAAGUGGCUGGGCUGGGCUGUGUCCUUCCCAGGCUGCAGAUGGACACCCACCACGCUGGGAGGCCUCUCCAGAGCAGCCAGGGCUGGGAGGGGACACAGAGGGUCAGCAGGGGCUGAGGGGUGAUGGCUGUGCCAGACCUCAGUCUGCACAGCAGAGAGGCACUGCUGCUCCAUCCUGCUCUGUGCUGUUCAAUUCUGAUCCAUCCUGCUCCAUCCUUCUCUGUGCUGCUCCAUCCUUCUCUGUGCUGCUCCAUCCCUGCUCCAUCCCUGCUCCAUCCCUGCUCCAUCCUGCUCUGUCCUGCUCUGUCCUGCUUCAUCCUCUCUGUCCCUGCUCCAUCCUGCUACAUCUCUGCUCCAUCCCUGCUCCAUUCUGCUCCAUCCUCCUCCGUCCUGCUCCAUCCCUGCUCCAUCCUGCUCCAUCCCUGCUCCAUCCCUGCUCCAUCUCUGCUCCAUCCCUGCUCCAUCCUGCUCUUGUCCCUGUGGCCAAAGCUCCUUGGAGGCUGGCGGAUGAAGUGGCCAGAGGGUGGUUUGGUGGCUGGGCUGGCUGCUGGCAUUCCUGGCUGCUCCCUCCAGCCCAGAGGAGGUGCUGCCCUCUCACUGGGAACAAGGGUGGUGCCCCGAGCCUGCCCUGGAUGGCAAUGGGCAUCUCAGCACUACAGCCAAAACCAAACUGGAAACAAACUGUUUG